UAGGGAAUCUUCGGCAAUGGACGAAAGUCUGACCGAGCAACGCCGCGUGAGUGAAGUAAGGUUUUCGGAUCGUGAAACUCUGUUGGUAGAGAAGAACGUUGGUGAGAGUGGAAAGCUCAUCAAGUGACGGUAACUACCCAGAAAGGGACGGCUAACUACGUGCCAC
rnacentral:rRNA from 1 species